rnacentral:rRNA from 1 species
CGAGCAUGCUUUGAAAUGACUUGCUCAUCAACUGUCGAUGGUAGGUUACGUGCCUACCAUGGUGACAACGGUUAACGGAGAAUAGGGGUUCGGUUCCGGAGAAGGAGCCUGAGAGACGGCUACUACAUCCAAGGAAGGCAGCAGGCGCGCAAAUUACCCACUCCCGGAACGGGGAGGUAGUGACGAUAAAUAACGGAACGUAUCUCGAUGAGACGCGUUACCGGAACGACCGAGC